CCCAGUUAAGUAGAAUCACAUGACAGCUGCAUUUUUUAUGAGCACCUUCCUUCACAUAGGGUAAGCACAUCAGGGUGAUUCAGGCCUGUAUAUAGAAGCAUCCGUAGUGACGGUAUUGGGACGAACGAGAAGAGUUUAUCAUCUGCAUGGUUUGCACAGUGUUUCUCUGAAGUUCCCGUCCACCCUGAACCUCAGAAUGUGGCCUUGUUUGGAAAGAGGGUCUGAUGCAAUUGAAUCAAUGAAGCCACACUGGGUAGGAGGGGCCAUCAAUCAAUAUGGCUUAGGUAUCAUUAUUCAAAGAAAUUGGAACACAGGGACACAUGAAAGGGUACGUGGGAUGAAGGCAGAGCUGGAAACACCAAGCAUUGCCAGCCAGCACCAGGACCUCAGCCAGAACCACCAAAAGAACCUCCCUUGAUCCUGCCAAGGAAGUGAUGCUGGCAACACGCUGAAUUUUGGGUUCCUAGUCUCCAGAAGUGUACAAGCACUGAUUUCUUUUUUAAUGUGAUAAAAUUCAUUGUAAUUUAUUACAGAAGUCCUAGGAAGCUAUGAAACAUUUUCACUUUAAGAAAGAAAAAAAAAGUUAUUGAAGAGUAAGCUGAACUCUAAAGAGUUGAAGAGACUUUGAAAUCACAGAGCCCUACCUCGACUUCCCUCGCAAGUGUGUUGAAUGGAUGGAUAAAGAGAACUACCCAGAUGAAAGUGCCCAGUGAGCAGCAAUGGGUGACUCCAGACGCUGGUGCCAAUCCUGGCCCUGCUUGGCCUCCAGAGGUGUCCACAGAGCACGAGAAAGCCCAGGGACAACUUCAGCACCUCAAGAGAGAGAUGGUAACCCAGGGUAUGAGUCCAAGAUGGAUCAAGCUAUUAGAAAGGGAGAAUUAUUGUCUGGCAUGGAAGAUAAGGAUAAGCUCUGGGAGUGAUGUUGAGAGACUGACAUCCAGGGAAGAAGCAAGCUGCGGCGCUGGUGCAUUACCUCUUGAGGAUAUCUGGGUUGUCAUAGGUCAGGUAACUGCGGCCGAUGAACUGCGGGAUCUCGAUGGCUUCCGUAAUCGCUGAGACAGAACAGAAAAUGGAGGUUAUGUGGCAUGUGGCCCUCUUGACCUCUCUGCUCAUACCCAUGUCAGUAACAUGGCCCGAAAGCUAGCCAUGGAAUGUGGCAUUUGACAACUUGUCAGCCCCUUGCUCUGGGCUGAGCAAGCACUGGUUGGGCUCACGGCAGCUUGGCCCAGUGGCCUGGCAGUGGUUUCUCCCCUUUCUCCCUUCCCUGGGGGCUGGCGGUCACUGUCACUGUCCUUGGCACUGCUGUGAAGGCCUUGCAAUGUGCUGAAACUUGAACUGUCCCCAGUGCUUCUUGGAAGCUGGAGGAGAGCCUGAACCAUGUGGAGAGCAGCUGGGGAUAACCCCAGAGUCGUGCCAAGGGAGGCAGAGAAAGUCAUCCCCAAACAAAGUCCAGUGGGGUUCUUUAUUUAGGGAUCAUCUACCGAACUCCUACAGCUCUGGUGAGAGAAUAGUGAGUGCAGUGUUUGAGCUCUGGGUCUUCUCUCAGACACGAGCAAUUGUACAAAGCCCUCACCCGGAACUCAUGGAGAAGCACAAAUAGAGGACAGAACGGGCCCAGGGCUGCCCCCCCCCCCCCGCCCCCUUGCUAAGACUACAGCAGACCCUGAAC